rnacentral:rRNA from 1 species
CAUGGAGGGUGAGAAUCCCGUCCGGUUGAUCAUUUGCGUUUUACGAUACGCUUUCUAAGAGUCAAGUUGUUUGGGAUUGCAGCUUAAAAUGGGAGGUAAAUUUCUCCUAAGGCUAAAUANNGGCGAGAGACCGAUAGCGAACAAGUACCGUGAGGGAAAGAUGAAAAGUACUUUGAAAAGAGAGUUAAAUAGUACGUGAAAUUGUUGAAAGGGAAACGAUUGAAGCCAGUCGUACUGACGGGUAAUCAACCUUUCUGGCGCGAUUAUUUGGACAUGUUGGAGCCUAACCGGUCCUCUUGUUUAUAUAUUCGUUCCCCUUGGGUGUACUUGCCCGUGUGGUAGGUUAACAUCAAUUUCAGACGUCAUAAAAUGACGGGAGGAAUGUAGCUUUGGUCUCGUACUGAAGUGUUAUAGACUCUGGUAGAUGUGACGUCUGGGAUUGAGGAUUGCAACGGAUACCUCUCGGGGCUAUCUGCCUGGCCUCUGAUGGUCGCUUUGGUGCUGAAAGCUUGCUUAUGGUUAUCGAAGUUGGUUGUCAAAAGGUUAGAGCGGGUUAAAUUCGUUAAGGAUGUUGACGUAAUGG